rnacentral:rRNA from 1 species
UGGGGGAUAUUGCACAAUGGGCGAAAGCCUGAUGCAGCGACGCCGCGUGGGGGAUGAAGGCCUUCGGGUUGUAAACUUCUUUUGCUCUGAACAAGGCAUGCCUUUGGGGUGUGUUGAGUGUAGGGGUUGAUUAGCGCCGGCUAACUACGUGCCAGCAGCCGCGGUAAUACGUAGGGCGCGAGCGUUGUCCGGAAUUAUUGGGCGUAAAGGGCUUGUAGGUGGCUGGUUGCGUCUGUCGUGAAAGCUCAUGGCUUAACUGUGGGUUUGCGGUGGGUACGGGCUGGCUUGAGUGCAGUAGGGGAAGCUGGAAUUCCUGGUGUAGCGGUGGAAUGCGCAGAUAUCAGGAGGAAUACCGGUGGCGAAGGCGGGUCUCCGGGCUGUUACUGACGCUGAGGAGCGAAAGCGUGGGGAGCGAACAGG